UGCGCUACCUGGUUGAUCCUGCCAGUAGUCAUAUGCUUGUCUCGCAGAUUAAGCCAUGCAUGUCUUAGUGUAAAUAUUUCACUGUGAAACUGCGGAUGGCUCAUUAAAACAGCUAUAGUUUGCUUGGAGUUUUCUUUCCAUCGGAUAUCCGUGGAAAUCCUACAGUUAAUACGUUACCUCCCCUUAAAGGGGUAGAAUAAUGUACUAACAAGAAUGUACCAUGUGCUUGCACAUGUUUAUGGAAUACUUUUACGUGUGAAUCGUUAUUAAACGAUAUUCCAUCAAAGUUUCUGACCUAUCAGGUUCCGACGGUUGGGUAUUGGCCAACCGUGCCUAUAACGGGUAACGGGGGAUUAGGGUUUGAUCCCGGAGAGGGAGCUUGAGAGAUAGCUACCACAUCUAAGGAAGGCAGCAGGCGCGCAAAUUACCAAUCCUUGAAACGAGGAGGUAGUAAACAGAAAUAAUGACGCACGACAUAAGUCGAGCGAUCGGAAUUAGUGACUUUUAAACGGAGUCACGAAAUAAAAGCGAGGGCAAGUCUGGUGCCAGCAGCCGCGGUAAUACCAGCUCGCUUAGCAUAUAUUAUUGAUGUUGCAGUUAAAACGUUCGUAGUCGAAAUUUAUCUACAGAAGAUGGAGUAAGUUUUUGCUUCUCUAUUCUUUAAAGUAGAUAUAAUGUAUUAUAGUACUUUACCGUACUUAUAAUACUAUAUACUUCGAGUGAAUCGGCGUGUUCCACGCAAGCUAACGCUUUGAACGAUUUACCAGAGAAUAUAUACAAUAUGAUACCAUCCUUAUGUAUAUUCGAGGAUGUUAUGUAUACAAAUAAGAACGGUUGAGGGCAUUCAUAUUCAACUGCCAGAGGUGAAAUUCUAUGAUCAGUUGAAGAUGAACAAAGGCGAAAGCAUUUGCCAAGGACGUUUCUGUUGAUCAAGAACGAAAGUUAGGGGAUCGAAGAUGAUUAGAUACCGUUGUAGUCCUAACUGUAAACAUUACUAACUAAUUAUUGGGUUGGUGAUUAAUACUUCUUCAGUACUUCAUGAGAAAUUAUAAGUCUUUGAGUUCUGGGGGGAGUAUAGUUGCAAGGCUGAAACUUAAAGGAAUUGACGGAAGGGCACCACCAGGCGUGGAGCUUGCGGCUUAAUUUGACUCAACACGGGAAAGCUUACCAGGACAAGACAUGAGAAGGAUUGACAGACUGAUCGCUCUUUCUUGAUUUUAUGGGUGGUGGUGCAUGGCCGUUCUUAGUUCGUGGAGUAAUCUGUCUGGUUAAUUCCGUUAACGAACAAGACCUUAACUUGCUAAUUGGGGUGUAUAUUUAAUAUGCAUUUUCUUUUAGAAGGACCGUGUAUUCAUAAUACAAGGAAGCGUGAGGCAAUAACAGGUCUGUGAUGCCCUUAGAUGUCCUGGGCAGCACGCGUGCUACAAUGAUAUAUAUAAUAUGUCAUGCUUUUAGAUAUAAUGGCGUAAUCAUUAAUAUAUAUCAUGCUAGGGAUUAUUUGUUGAAAUGUUAAAUAUCAACAAGGAAUGCCUAGUAAGCGCGAAUCAUUAAUUCGUGUUGAUUAUGUCCCUGCCCUUUGUACACACCGCCCGUCGCACCUAUUGAUUAGGUUGUAUUAUGAGUUGGAUGGAUAUGUUAUAGAAAUAGCAAUAUUAUAUAAUAUAGAAAUCUUACAAAUAGUACAUCCCAGAAACAGGUAAAGUCGUAACACGGCAUCUGUAGGUGAACCUGCAGAAGGAUCA
rnacentral:rRNA from 1 species